UAGGCAAUUAUUUUUUACAAAAAGGAAACUAUACUAAUUAGGAAUUCGAGACACAUUCAAACAGUAUGUUUGCUUGUAUUGAUUCCCUAAUGGUUUUCUAUACUUGGAAUAGGGCUUCUAGCCUUUUUUUUUUUUUUUUUUUUUGUGUUGCAUUGAGUGAAUGUAUUGGACAAUAAAAAUAGCUCAUAAUUCCUUGAAGUUUGAAAUUGAGUUGAGUGGCAAUUGGUGGAACCACGUAAGGGUUGGUCCCUAUAGGCUAGAUGAGAAGACUUUGUGGAGUAACAUUCAUUCCCUUACAUGAGGAUCAUCAUCUGUCAAACAUACAAUGGUGGAACCACAUAAGGGUUGGUCCCUAUAGGCUAGAUGAGAAGACUUUGUGGACUAACAUUCAUUCCUUUACAUGAGGAUCAUCAUUUGUCAAACAUGCGAUGGUGGAACAACAUAAGGGUUGGUCCCUAUAGGUUAGAUGAGAAGACUUUGUGGAGUAACAUUCAUUCCCUUACAUGAGGAUCAUCAUUUUUCAAACAUGCAAUAGGUGUUCUAAUUUGUUGCCUAUCCCAUUGAACAUGUUGAAUAUAAGGAUUCCAAAUCCUCUAGGCAUCUUCUCCCUAAGGAUAGCCUUAAUGAAUGGUGUGGUGAUGAUAUCACAUACUGCUUGUAAGGCAAGGGGCUCAAUGAAGCAUGACAAGUAUGUGGGUUUACCACCAUAGUUUGGUGGGCGCUUUUUCUUCCCCUUGUGGCUUGGGGCUACGUCAUGCUCAAUUGGAGUUGAUGGUCCCCCGCUCUAGUAAGUGGCUCCUUUGAUUUCCUAUUUCCUUAAUUAAGCUUCUUUAGGAUGGUUGUGGAUUAGAAGGGCUCAGGCACCUACUAUCUUCUUGUGAUUCCCUUCUUAGUUGACCAUUUUCAUGGACGAGUUUUUCAUUGUACCUAUUUAACUCUGUGAGUUAGCUCGUUGUUUCUUCUUUUUUUUUCUCUUUGAAAUCUAUGUUCCGUUUUAUUUUUAUUUGUUGUUGGAUCCAUGAUAACUGAGGAUCAUCACAAGGAUGCAUAUCGUUAGUUCAUUUUUAUAUUGUGACUAAGUUGAUCAAAUGAGGAUUUUUCUAUAGACGAAGACAAUCCAUUGAAUCCUCCUCCAAGUAAGGUCGAAUUGGGCAUCUGCUUCCUCUUAUGGAUCAAAGAGAUAGAUAGGUGAAAAAGGAAAGGGUUGAUUAAGUUGACCCGCUAUAAUGGUCAAGUUAUUCAUAAAGCGAAGUAAAGAACAAUACAUAAAAAAAAAAAUGGAAUUGUUUGUGUGCAUCGUGUUUUGAAAUUGGGAUCUACUUUUAUAGUUGUUUUUUGGUAGGUUGAUUAUGGGAAGGCAAUAUUGAGAGACAUCGGUUAUGAAUCACCUUAAAUGAUAUCUAUUAUAUCCAUCUUUAAGCUCUAUCUAUUAUGUAAUGAUUGUUGGAUGACCUCUACAGUUUUGGUUAUUAUGUGGUUAUUGCGGGUCAUGACUAUUAUGUAGUUAAUUAUGCGAAGGUUCUCCUCUUUACAAGGUUGCAUAUCGCAAGUGGAUGGUUGUACUUUGUGAAUGGAGGUCAACCCUUAUAUGGGGACUACCCUAGGUCCCUAGUUGUGGCAUAAUGGUGGCAAUAGUUUGGUCCUAUAUAUCCAUUGUAGUGCAAUGUGGUAGAUCCCCGGAUGGCAUCAUGGCAUAUGGUGUAUGGGAGUAGUGCAUCAUUUUUUGACUUUACUACAUGACCAAGUAUAUUCAUGUCCCUAAAAUUAUCAAACAAAGUCUUGGGAUUUAAACCUAAACCUUCAUAAUAAGGGAAAAAGAAAUGCUAAGUGCAAGUUACAUAUCCUUUUGACGAAAUUGGAUAAGGUGCUCAUCAAAUAGUACUUUUGGAAGGCCGUUGUUCUACAAAGAUUAAGCACGUUCUUGUUAUUGGCUUGUUUGACCCAUGAACAUUCAUGAGUUAUGCUUGUAACCAUCCCUUAAAAAAGCUAAACAACGCUAGGGUUUGUGCUAAACAACAUGCUCUUUUUAUAAUGUUUGGUUCGGGAAAAUGUUAGAG
rnacentral:lncRNA from 1 species